AUGUUUGCUUGUCUCGAAGCUCUGCUUGUGAGUGGCGCACCUUUGGCAGAGAAGAGGGAUGGUUUGGGUUUUGAGGACCGUAUGGCAGGUCUGGCGACCGGGAGAAUGGACGGCAGUGGCAAAGUCGCAUGUGUUGGGGACGACGAUGCUGACCAGUGCCAUAGUGGUGGGCACUCAUUCAGUGUGAAUGCCCUUCAGGGUCUUGCAACUCUAGAUAAACAUAGAGGGGCCAGCACACCGGCAAACAACAGGGAAAAGGCCCCAUACGAAGGUCUGAGUAUGCGAGCUAGGAAAAUGCAAGAACUGCGGGAUGGAAAGACACAGAUGGAACACUUGCACAAGGCCACUAGGAGUUCCUGA
rnacentral:rRNA from 1 species